rnacentral:rRNA from 1 species
AGAGCGAACGCUGGCGGCAGGCCUAACACAUGCAAGUCGAGCGGCCGUAGCAAUACGGCAGCGGCAGACGGGAUAGUAACACGUGGGAACGCGCCCUUCGGUUCGGAAUAACUCAGGGAAACUUGAGCUAAUACCGGAUACGCCCUUACGGGGAAAGAUUUAUUGCCGAAGGAACGGCCCGCGUCCGAUUAGCUAGUUGGUGAGGUAAUGGCUCACCAAGGCUCCGAUCGGUAGCUGGUCUGAGAGGAUGACCAGCAUCACUGGGACUGAGACACGGCCCAGACUCCUACGGGAGGCAGCAGUGGGGAAUAUUGGACAAUGGGGCGCAAGCCUGAUCCAGCCAUGCCGCGUGGAUGAUGAAGGCCUUAGGGUUGUAAAGUCCUUUUAACGGGGAAGAUAAUGACGGUACCCGUAGAAUAGCCCCGGCUAACUUCGUGCCAGCAGCCGC